UGAAUAUUCUUUAGUCUUCUCUUUCCUUUCCUUGUCUCUCCGUGAUUACCCGCUGCUUCCUUCAUGACUCCUCUGGACGCCUGCAAGAGCCCCAUCAGCAGAGAGAAAUAAUGACUCCCGAAACAGUUCACAAUCAAAAGUUAAAACGAUGUUUCAGUGAUGCUACAUCAUGCCAGGUGAAAAGAAUGUGGACGUGAGAUACCGAAUAAGAAGGCAGAUGACAAGACCCUGGUAUUACCCAUGAAUUGUGUGCCUAAGCCAACUGGGUAAGCUUCAGGCCAUUCUUUGCUUUCCGGGGAAGCGUCUAGAUGCUGAUCCUUUCUGAUAAAAAAAACGGGUAGUAGUGAGGAAUUCUGUCCGGGGGCUGGAUGAUCAGUCCCUUCCAUUGUGCUUUCUGCUUCCCCAGUCCUGAUUUAUCAUUUGGAAGUCAGUUCUAGUUGAGCACUGAGGAGAAAGGCCAUAUAAACACAAUGCAUUACUCUCCGACAGCCUGUAACUGACUAGGCAGCAAUUGAUUAGGUUGCUUAUCCUUAAACGAAAGCAUUUCUUAAGAGGUGAUCGUUUUUCUACGGGUUCUCUUAUAUAGUAUAUGCUACAAGUUCCAGUAAGUCACUCCCAGCCCCCCACUGCGUCAAGCGAAGAUAUCUCUUAGGUCACUCC
rnacentral:lncRNA from 1 species